UUGUUGAGUGGCAUCCUGGUGCUCGGUAAGCAGGCAACCUGCAUUCCUCUCUGACAAUCAGGUGGAAGAUUCAGACAAUCUGUUCAGACUAAAGCCUGGAAUGGCUGAUCCUUCUUUGAUUUGCUUUGCCAAAGCGACUGAAGAGAAUAACGGCACAUAGAACUGUUCUACUCACUAAGAACACAGCAGCAAGUAGAAGGAGGUAACCAUGAAAAGAUCACAGACAAGAGCAUUCCAUACAAAAUGGACAGAACUUCAAGACCUCCACCCCAAGUUCAUAAAUUUAUUUGCUAUAAUCUUGUUGAUAUAUAUAACAAAUAGAGAAUGAAUCUUCCCUUCUAAGAUGGGAGCACCAAAGAGUUCAUGCCGAGCUGAAUGGAAUUUGAAGGAAGGAUUAUACUGGAUUUUACUAACCAGCAUAUAAUAAUGUUGUUUCUUUCUAGAUUGUUUCCAUUUUACUUAA